rnacentral:rRNA from 1 species
AACGAACGCUGGCGGCAGGCCUAACACAUGCAAGUCGAGCGGGACCUUCGGGUCUAGCGGCGGACGGGUUAGUAACGCGUGGGAACGUGCCCAAAGGUACGGAAUAGCCUCGGGAAACUGAGAGUAAUACCGUAUGUGCCCCUCGGGGGAAAGAUUUAUCGCCUUUGGAUCGGCCCGCGUUGGAUUAGGUAGUUGGUGGGGUAAUGGCCUACCAAGCCGACGAUCCAUAGCUGGUUUGAGAGGAUGAUCAGCAACACUGGGACUGAGACACGGCCCAGACUCCUACGGGAGGCAGCAGUGGGGAAUCUUAGACAAUGGGGGAAACCCUGAUCUAGCCAUGCCGCGUGAGCGAUGAAGGCCUUAGGGUUGUAAAGCUCUUUCAGAUGGGAAGAUAAUGACGGUACCAUCAGAAGAAGCCCCGGCUAACUACGUG